UGAGGAAUUUUGCGCAAUGGGGGAAACCCUGACGCAGCAACGCCGCGUGAGUGAUGAAGGCCUUCGGGUCGUAAAGCUCUGUCAAGUGGGAAGAAUCUGUCCGGUGAUAAUACCGCUGGGCAAUGACGGUACCGCUGAAGGAAGCACCGGCUAACUCCGUGCCAGCAGCCGCGGUAAUACGGGGGGUGCUAGCGUUAUUCGGAAUCAUUGGGCGUAAAGGGCGCGUAGGCGGUCUUUUAAGUCAGAUGUGAAAGCCCUCGGCUUAACUGAGGAAGUGCAUUUGAUACUAAAAGACUUGAGUAUGGGAGAGGGAAGCGGAAUUCCUGGUGUAGCGGUGAAAUGCGUAGAUAUCAGGAGGAACACCGGUGGCGAAGGCGGCUUCCUGGACCAAUACUGACGCUGAGGCGCGAAGGCGUGGGGAGCAAACA
rnacentral:rRNA from 1 species